rnacentral:lncRNA from 1 species
GUUUAACCACUCAAAUCUCAAGAGAAACGACUCAUAAUUUCAAGCUUGAAACACCUCUCAACACAAUCCAAGAAUGGCCUCUAGCAAUUGUUUCAUAUUAGCUUUCUUUGUGGCUUUGGCAUUUGCUUCCAUCAAUGAGGGGCUAGCAGCUCGUAACCUAUUGCAAUUGCCAACAUUGCCACCUCUGCCUUCAGUACCAGGGAUGCCACAGCAGCCAACGUUGCCAACAUUGCCAAAGCCAAUGUUGCCACCACUGCCAAAGCCAACGUUGCCACCACUGCCAAACCCUACUACAAUUCCAAGUAUCCCAAAAAUUCCGACUCUGCCCCCAUUUCCAAGCAUUCCCUCAAUUCCUAAUAUACCAAGUACAAUUCCUUCCAUCCCUUUCUUCUCUCCACCUCCUUCUACAAAGAGCCCUUGAAUUUGUCACUUGGGACUUCAUUAUUUAGUUCUAAUUAUUUGUAUUUACUCGAGUAUUUGUUAUGUUUUUUAUCUGUCUAUGUUCGAAGCAGUAUUGAUGUUCAUUUCUCAUUUCUCGUCAUCUUUGUUUGUACAUGGAUUAGCAAUCCAGAUUCUAUUGAUUGUACUAUAUAUUAUUACUGAAUAAGAAUUGGUUUCCAUAUUGAACUAGGUUGUACUGGAUUUUUGUUAAUUUUCUAUACAAUAUUGUACGGUUAAAUAGCUCCGCUUAAAAUGGUUGUCCGUAAUCAAAAACCGACUUGCACUAGAACCUUUCUACACGGAGAUUUGGAGAAGUCCAAAAACAUUUCUUUUGAAAAAAAAAAAAAAAAAAAUUCUACAAUUAGGAAUGAACUAGGAAAA